AGAGUUUGAUCAUGGCUCAGGAUGAACGCUAGCGGGAGGCCUAACACAUGCAAGCCGAGCGGUAGAGAUUCUUCGGAAUCUUGAGAGCGGCGUACGGGUGCGUAACACGUGUGCAACCUGCCUUUAUCUGGGAGAUAGCCUUUCGAAAGGAAGAUUAAUAUCCCAUAAUAUAUUGAUUGGCAUCGAUUGAUAUUGAAAGCUCCGGCGGAUAAAGAUGGGCACGCGCAAGAUUAGAUAGUUGGUGAGGUAACGGCUCACCAAGUCGAUGAUCUUUAGGGGGCCUGAGAGGGUGAUCCCCCACACUGGUACUGAGACACGGACCAGACUCCUACGGGAGGCAGCAGUGAGGAAUAUUGGACAAUGGGUGGAAGCCUGAUCCAGCCAUCCCGCGUGAAGGAAUAAGGGCCUAUGGCUUGUAAACUUCUUUUGUACAGGGAUAAACCUACCCUCGUGAGGGUAGCUGAAGGUACUGUACGAAUAAGCACCGGCUAACUCCGUGCCAGCAGCCGCGGUAAUACGGAGGGUGCAAGCGUUAUCCGGAUUUAUUGGGUUUAAAGGGUCCGUAGGCGGGCUUAUAAGUCAGUGGUGAAAGCCGGCAGCUUAGCUGUCGAACUGCCAUUGAUACUGUAAGUCUUGAGUAUAUUUGAGGUAGCUGGAAUAAGUAGUGUAGCGGUGAAAUGCAUAGAUAUUACUUAGAACACCAAUUGCGAAGGCAGGUUACCAAGUUAUAACUGACGCUGAUGGACGAAAGCGUGGGGAGCGAACAGGAUUAGAUACCCCGGUAGUCC
rnacentral:rRNA from 1 species